rnacentral:rRNA from 1 species
GACCGGCGCAAGGGUGCGUAACGCGUGAGCAACAUGCCCGUAUCAGGGGGAUAAUCCAGGGAAACUUGGUCUAAUACCGCAUAAUGAUCUUUUAAGGCAUCUUGAAGGAUUUAAAAUUUCGAUGGAUACGGAUUGGCUCGCGUGACAUUAGCUGGAUGGUAGGGUAACGGCCUACCAUGGCUACGAUGUCUAGGGGUUCUGAGAGGAAGGUCCCCCACACUGGAACUGAGACACGGUCCAGACUCCUACGGGAGGCAGCAGUGAGGAAUAUUGGACAAUGGAUGGAAAUCUGAUCCAGCCAUGCCGCGUGCAGGAAGACGGCCCUAUGGGUUGUAAACUGCUUUUGUAUGGGAGCAAUAAGGGUUACGUGUAGCCCGAUGAGAGUACCAUACGAAUAAGGACCGGCUAACUCCGUGCCAGCAGCCGCGGUAAUACGGAGGGUCCGAGCGUUAUCCGGAUUUAUUGGGUUUAAAGGGUGCGUAGGCGGUUUUAUAAGUCAGCGGUGAAAUUUUCCGGCUCAACCGGGAUACUGCCGUUGAUACUGUAAGGCUAGGAUAUGGUUGCUGUGGGUGGAAUGUGUGGUGUAGCGGUGAAAUGCUUAGAGAUCACACAGAAUAUCGAUUGCGAAGGCAGCUCACAAAGCCAUUAUUGACGCUGAGGCACGAAAGUGUGGGGAUCAAACAGGAUUAGAUACCCUGGUAGUCCACACUGUAAACGAUGAUAACUCGCUGUCGGCGAUAUAAAGUCGGUGGCCAAGCGAAAGCGAUAA